GGGUCAAUGAUGAGAACCUUAUAUGGUUCUGAAGGGGUGAUGACCCAAAGUCAUACUCCAAUAGGAAUUACACUGAGCCC